rnacentral:rRNA from 1 species
UCCAGACUCCUACGGGAGGCAGCAGUAGGGAAUUUUCGUCAAUGGGCGCAAGCCUGAACGAGCAAUGCCGCGUGAACGAGGAAGGUCUUCGGAUCGUAAAGUUCUGUUGACGGGGAAAAAAGACCGGGAAAGGAAAUGAUCCCGGAGGAGAUAUUACCCGUCGAGGAAGUCACGGCUAACUACGUGCCAGCAGCCGCGGUAAUACGUAGGGGGCAAGCGUUAUCCGGAUUUACUGGGUGUAAAGGGAGCGUAGACGGCAUAGCAAGUCUGAAGUGAAAGCCCGUGGCUCAACCGCGGAACUGCUUUGGAAACUGUUAAGCUGGAGUACUGGAGAGGCAAGCGGAAUUCCUAGUGUAGCGGUGAAAUGCGUAGAUAUUAGGAGGAACACCAGUGGCGAAGGCGGCUUGCUGGACAGAGACUGACGUUGAGGCUCGAAAGCGUGGGGAGCAAACAGGAUUAGAUACCCCGGUAGCA